UCCUCCAGCUGCCUCCCACCUGACACAUCUCUGUCCCAAGCUGUCCCUCUGCCCCUUGGGGGCCUGAAAACUGUGGAUGUACCCCCCAUGGUCAAGUGUCCUUGGUGUGUGACGCUAGUGGACGUGCAGGUUUCACUGCACACACAGCUUCUGUUUCCCGUGGCAACAUGUGUCCCUGGGUGCCUCACCCUGUCCCCUCCUCUGGGACCUGAGAAAGCUGUCCAAGCUGAGGACUCUGCAGAGCAGCUCCACAUGCACCGUCCCCAAGACCCCCCAGAGACCACCAUUGGGGAAGUGCCCUGGAAACCAUCAGGGUGAGUGGGGAAACCGCUUCCAAGGCCCAAGUGAUGCCGCCCCUUCUGGGAGGGUCUGGACCUGGAACCAGCCCCUGUUUCUGUGCCAUGCGUCAGCAGUCAAGAGCCAGCCAGCAGAGCUCUUCAUGGAAGCAACGCGGCAGUUUCCACGGUGACUACCCGCUUAGACCCCAAAGCGGGACUAUAAUGGGAAGGAAGAGGUUUGCCGUAAGAGCCGGCCAGACCCACACACAAGGUCGGGUACUUGUAGAUUUCCCUGGCUCAACCCAGAAACCUGAGAUGCGACAUCUCUGAAAUGUCCAAUUUCUGAAGUUGAAAACUGGGGCAGGCUCAUUUGUUGGUACGAUGUCGACUGCCAGCGGUUAAUCACCAAGGGUAAGUGGGAGAGAUCAUUUCUGCUCAUUUGCAAAUGGAAAUCAGAUGGGGCCCGGGCUCCCCUGCACCAGUGCUUCUCCUUCCAACUGCAGGAGUUUCGGAGACACUGACCUUGGGUUGCCAGGCAGCCUCUGGCGGCUCAGGCUCCCGCUCAGGGCACCGCGUGCACUUGUGUCCAGCGCGGGACGUCCUCUGCCAUUCCUGCUCAUGGUGGAGGUCACACCUGGUUGGUGUGGGAAGUAGGAGGUCUUUCCAGAUGCAGGGGAUUGCUAUCACACACAAACAGCCACUUCCCCCUUCCUUUAUGGCUCUGCGGAGACUUGGGGACCCACUUCACCUUGCCUGAAGGGCCCAGGAAAUCAUGCUGAAACCCUUCCAAGAGUCAAGAGAUGUGUUUAUAAAUCCUCUUUGCUGAACUGUUGGCCCCAAGAAAUUUGAUAAUAAAACAUUUACACGGGGGGGUGGUGGUGAGCUGGAUGGGUUUCCUCCCCCCACUACAACGUGCGUGUUUUCUGCUUACGGGGGUCUGUGCCCGCUGCGUUUCCUGCCCUCAGAGGCGUGUGCUUGGAAUACUGAAGUGAGAGCCCCGUGCAUCAGACAUGGCAUGGAUCUCUCUCCGCGCUGCGGGAUUCAUUACUGUGAUUUAUGGCCGUUUUAAUGUACACAGCCUGCUUGAACAACUUAGAGUUGAUUGUUCUGGAACUAGACUUGGGUCCAAGAGAGCUCUGGAGCCGUGCCACGGUGCAGGGGAGUCGUCGGUGUCCCUGAGGAGGUCAACAACCUUGGACCAAAGGCUCCGGGUUACCACAAACUGACGAGGGGGCCGGUGAUGACCACAGCUGCAGGGAGGGAGUCCCAAGCCCGGGCUGAGCGGCAUGCCCUUGUCAGGCUUGGCAGGCCCAGUGGGGACCCUGGGGGGACAGUGCCUCUGCUGGCUUCCUCAUGUCCACCUGGGGCGGGUUCAUAGGCCAGGUGACAGGGAGCCAGAGCUGGACUGCCCACCAGCACCACUGGAGAAAACCCACCUGGGCCGCUCAGUGCACAGUGACCCCUUGUAUCACAGCAACUUUGUGGUUCUGUUUUUUUUUUUUUUUUUAAUUAUUGAUUUUUUAGUUGUAGGUGGACACACACCAUCUUUAUUUCAUUGUUACGUGGUGCUGAGGAUCAAACCCAGUCCUCACACGUGCUAGGUGAGCGCUCUACCACGAGCCCCAGCCCAGCCCUGUGGUGCAGUUUGAUUCCUAACUUUAAGAGUAAUGACGCAUCGUCUUGGUGCCAGGCCUCAUGGUUCCAACCUGGAUCAAAGGGAGCCUCGCAGCAGGGACGAGGGACGGGUGAGGGCAGCGUGGAGGAGAGGAGCCACGCUCAGUGCAUUAUAAAGGCGCAGGGGGGUCUGCAGGAGGUCCAGCUGAACAGGCCAGACCUCCAGCACAGAAGUCUCCGGAAGGGAUGGGGAGGCACAUCUGGCCAGUGGAGGGAAGGCCACCUUCUGAACCUCGCCUGGAGAAGCAGGACCACAGAGCUGCACCUGGCGGUGCCUGCAGGAGGCAGCACACCUGUGCAGGUGAGAACCCCAUGGGAGGAAAGACCCAGAGCUCAGGGCUCCUUCCACGCACCAGAAGAUCCGGUAGAAAGCUCACGGUAGACCAGCUGCCUCAUGGUCCUCAUCAUCCACCAGACCCGCGUCUCCAGCGCUGCCUCUCCCAGGCCAGAAUUCCCAGAGGUAUCCGAUCUUCACUGCACAGUGAGGCAGAGCACACCCAGCAGAGCCCUGGGUUUUCUGCCUUUUUUCUGUGAUGAGCCACGUGCUCCCGGUCCUGUGUCCCAGGUAGACGCAGGUGGCUGAGCUUCCCGACCAGCUGUCACAUCCCAUGCCGGGUCAACACUCACCACAACCAGGAGCUGUGGUCAUCAACAGCGAGGAGGCCUGUCCAGAGCUCAGGUGGCACUUCUGGGGUCACCCAGCUGGUAAUACAUCAGCCAGAAUUCUCCUUUCCAUCUUUCUGUUCCUUCAUGAGAGGCAUGCAUCUUCCCACAUGGGGGACCAUGUGAAGUGAGUUUCACGGUGGCCCUGGGGAGGGGGCUCAGGCCCCAGGCCACGUCCUUCCUGAGCCACAGGCUACUCUGCAAGCCUCACUCUGAGUAUCAGUGACCCCCCUGUGAGCGGGAACAACAGCACGGGCCUCUUCACCUGCAACCGGGGACGAUGACCAAGGACCGCCGCACCUGCCCCACUGCUGAGCAAGGCGGAGGAAGCAGGCACAGCAUGGCACAGCGUGGCACAGCGUGGCACAACAUGGCACAGCGUGGCACAGAGCGGCUCUGGGCUGCUCAGAGCUCAAGGAGUGUCUCUUUGGUUUGGAGAUGGAGGAAAUCCCAGGGCAGUGGCUCCUCUGAGCUCAACUGGAGGAGCUUAUGUAACAUGAAGAUUUCCACACACAGCCUGUCCCUCCCAGAGACCCUGCACACUACGGCUGUGAAGCCCAAGAGGCAGAUCUCUUACCUCAAAGAGGCUAAGAGGCUGGUUUCCUAGGGCCAGCCCUGGACUACACCAAACCCGAGAACUGAACUGAGCGCUGACCCCAGACCCUGUGAGUCCUGUCUCAGGAAUGGGGCUCCCAGGAGGCCCAAGUGGAGACAGCUGGAAGCCACCAUCACGAGGACAGGGUAGAGCUUUAGCAGCGUCAGGACCCGGGAGAGACCUGCACUUAUCACCUAGAGAGACCAGCGCGGCAUGGUCCAGAACGGACAAGCUGUCGCCUGACGGGGAGUACUGCUCACGCUGAACACACCCACAGGGACUCAGAAUGCUAACUGCUUUGUAGACCAUUCCGAUUCCCAAAGAUUCAGAAGCGAAGGUCUGGAAGAUUUCACACCAGACGAAGCACUGUGGGGAGACGCGGAGGGAGAUCAAGGCAGCUCUGGACUUUUCAAAGCCAGGUUCACCUGGAUGAACCGUAGCCCAGGCAGCACCGACUGCGCCAGCCUGAGCCGCUCAAUUCCUCCUCCCUCUGCAGACAGUUGACCCAAGAGACCCAGAAGCAGCUCCUGACGGGGUCCUGGAACAUGAGGUCAAGGAAGCCAAGCCAGAGUCCAAGCUGAGGCCGGCUGGAGGCACACGCGUGUGCGUGUGUGUGGUGUCCCACGUGCACACAUGACGGGUCUGUGCAGACCGUGUGCCACAUGAACAGGGAGAAGCCAGGCCUUCCACAGCCCCCCGUGUCUGCCUGUGGCCUGGCAAUGGCCCAGGUUCUCUUUUGGCCAGCCCCUCUGCCCUAGCUGACCAGACAAACCCUUUCGAGCGAGGACGCCUGCCCGGCAGCAGGCACCACCCAGGGCUGGACCCUGGGAGCCGUGGCGGGACUGGCCCUCCCAGGAUUCUGACCUCUGUGGAUCCCAGACAGCUACAGGGCCGGCAGGGCCUGGGGAGUCCUUCCAGACCAGACCUUUAGUGAACAGCUGAGGACAGAGUCCAGGUGGUUAAGGGACCGUCAGUUCUCUCCCGGGAACAGAGCUGGGCGUGGCCUGCAGUUCUCCGCCUGCCCAGCAUUCUUCCUGCCUGGACCUGCUUCUGCCAAGUGGCGCUCCCCCCAGAUCCCAUGGCGGGUGGCAGCCACACGGAGAACUCACCCUCCAAGCAGCUUUUCCUGCGCCCUCCACCCAGGGCCUUUGCCCACUUUGUGUUUGAGAACAGACCCUGCUGCUCUUCUAGGGCAACAUGGCUGACCCCAGCUGCCGAUGGGCAGCCACCGGACGUGGUGAUGGAACGCUCCGCUGGGCACACUGCCACGGUGGGGGGGAUUUCUAAGGCCUGGGAGAUGACCGGAUGGGAGCAUGUCUCAGAGGAAGGACCUAUUUCAAGGUGAACCCUUCUAUCAGCCACCACUAUUUCACUCCUUGGCCACUCAACCCGAAGGUGGCAUCUGAGCCGUGUCCUAAGCCAACUGAGUUCCCCAGUGCUUACUGACUUGUACCAGGCAUCUGAGACCCAAGAGUUGGAGACAUCGUUCUUGCUUUGGGAAACUUUCAAUUUCAUAAGAGAUAAUGUGUUAUGGAUUGAAUUAUCGCCCCUAAAAUUCACCCCUCCCAGGGGCUGUGAAUAGGAGUUUAUUUGAAAAUAAGCUUUUUGCAGAUGUAAUCAAAUUAAAAUGAGGUCAUGAGGAUGGACCCUAAUCCAGUAGGACUGUGUCCUCAUAAAACAAAGGGAAAUUUGGACACAGAGACAGACCUGCACACAGGGAGAAUGCUGUGUGCACCCGCAGGCGGAGACGGGUGGUGCAUACAAGCCAAGGACCGCCAAGGACAGCCAGCAGUCACCAGAAGCCAGGGAGGGGCCCGAGACAGAGCCUCCCUUCCAGCCUCAGGAGGAACCAGCCCUGAGACACUUGGAUCUUGGACUUCCAGCCUCUAGAACUGCAAGGCCUACAUUUCAGUGGCUUCAACUGGCCAGUGACAGCCCUAUAUGACACAGCCCAGGAACCGACAGCACCAUGUACCAUCAGCUGCUCCGGAACCACCCGGCCAGCAAGCCCCUUGAGGAAGCCCCAGUGUGGGAUCCCUGCACACAAGUCAUGGGCCAGCCAAGUUAAGUAAAGGGGAAAUAAUUCAGUAAGAUGACCGGCUUAGCUGGGCUUUUGUCCCCCACUCCUCCGCAGCAGUAGUCGGAGCCAGCCCCAGUCUUCUCCAUUCUAGAAUACGGGUGGGGUGAGGGGUCUGUCCAGGAGGGACAGCGGGGAGGGUCUGAGCUCUGCCUUCUCCCUCGGUGCUCUAAUGCACCUGGGAAGAGACCCGCCUCUGUGACCCAGUUCAGAACUCGGGCCAGGCCAGGCCGCCACAUGACUGCAUUAGGAGGCAGCCUGCCCACCACAACUGACUAAUGGUCUGUUUGGGGCCAGGAAACUGUCUCUUGCAAGGAAAUAUAUUAUUCUAUAAUUUCCCUAAAAUAUUAAAAGUGGAUUUCUGCUUGGAGAGACGGGCCUGCACUUCCUCACCCCUCCCAAAGAGGACAGGCCUGAGGGCUGGGGAGUCACGCCAGCUGCCUUGGGAGGGUGGGUUUCUGUUUGUCCAGCCAGUGGGGCCCCUGAAAAUAUGCAGCCUCAACCACAGAAGGAGGUUAAGUCCACAAGGAGUUUAACUCGGGUGGGCACAUCCGAGGGCAGAGAGAAAGCAGUGGCCACCUCAAAACCCGGCACCUGCAAGGUGACACGCUGAGGGAGGGGCAGCGAAGACCCCCGCCUGCCCACCCACAGCCGUGCUUGCUCUUCUACGAGGGUCAUGCCUCUGGACUUCAGGCCCCCAAGAGUCCGUGGAGAAGGCAGGGGCAGCCACGGACCUGAGUGAGAGGUGGUUGAACCCUGGAUCGCUCGUCUCCAGCUCCAACGAGGCACGCCCUUCAUCACCAACACGGUCAUCGGCCACCGAGAGUCGGCUCACCCUGCAACUGUCACCAGAGCAGGCACAGUGUCCCUGUCACAUGGCCACUGGCCCAUUGCUGUCGACGUCCGUCGUGAUCGGCACCAGGAUUCUGCAGAGCUCUCAGAAGCCUUCACACACCGGUUUCUUGAAAGUGAUGGCGUAGUGUCCUGAGACGCGCCCCUUGCGGGGACAGAGGUGUGCCUGUCCCUCUUCUCACACACACUUGUCUCACACAGCUGGUUCCUGGAACCCACCUGCUGCGCCUGACACUCUGAAAGACUGCUGAGAACUAUUCCUGGGUCCCACCAAGUAGCAGAGAUCCGUGGCACCUGCUAAGUCCCUGCUCUGGGGCUGAGAGCAGGACUUGGGCAGCAGAACAGGACACACUCCAAGGAUUUAAAUUAAAGAGGACCUGGGGAGUGGCCCCUAGGCGAUGGAGGGGCUGAGAGGCUGAGCAGAAACAUGUGAGGGCCAGACAAGACCAUGGGAGCCAGGGGCAGCUGGCCAAGGUGGACAGGCCCCUGCCCAUGUGCUAUGGUUUGGGUCUGGAAUGUCCCCAAAACCUCAUGUGAGGAAGGCUGGUGCCCAAGGCAGCAACACCCAGAGGCUGGGCUUUGGGAAAUGGUUGGUUAUGAGGGCUCCGACCUCAGCCGUGGGUUAGUCCACUACGUCGAUCGGUUCGUGCUCAGAGGGGCCCAGUUGGAAGAAGCGGGUCCCUGAGGGCAUGCUGUGGAAGGGCACAUCUUGCCCCUGGCCCAUUCUCCUCUCUCCCUGCUUCCUGGCCGCCAUGAGCUGACCAGUGUCCCUCCACCACACUCCUCCACCACGAGGCCCACAGUGGUGGACCCAGACAACCAGGGCGAUACCUCUGAGACCAUGGAGCCAAAAUAAAUCUCUCCUCCUUUAAGGUA